GAUGAACGCUAGCGGGAGGCCUAACACAUGCAAGCCGAGCGGUAGAGUUUCUUCGCAAACUUGAGAGCGGCGCACGGGUGCGUAACACGUGUGCAACCUACCUUUAUCUGGGGGAUAGCCUUUCGAAAGGAAGAUUAAUACCCCAUAAUAUAAUGAUUGGCAUCAAUUAUUAUUGAAAACUCCGGUGGAUAGAGAUGGGCACGCGCAAGAUUAGAUAGUUGGUGAGGUAACGGCUCACCAAGUCAAUGAUCUUUAGGGGUCCUGAGAGGGAGAUCCCCCACACUGGUACUGAGACACGGACCAGACUCCUACGGGAGGCAGCAGUGAGGAAUAUUGGACAAUGGGUGAGAGCCUGAUCCAGCCAUCCCGCGUGAAGGAUGACGGUCCUAUGGAUUGUAAACUUCUUUUGUACAGGGAUAAACCUACCCUCGUGAGGGUAGCUGAAGGUACUGUACGAAUAAGCACCGGCUAACUCCGUG
rnacentral:rRNA from 1 species